rnacentral:sRNA from 12 species
UUGCGUUAGCGAUAGUAACGGCAUCCUUUUGCUUCUUCUGCAAAAGAUAUAGUGGAAAGCGCAAUCCAGU